CCAUCUUUUGCUUUCGUAUAUAAUUUCGGCACCAUCGAAUAGACUUCGUUAUUCAUCGUAUUUUCUUCGUCACCUUUUGAUAUUUUUAACGAGAUCGGGACAACUUCCUACGAACUUACGAAUUUUCGUAUUCGGGUGACCAUCGUAUAUAAAAAUCGGGACAGUGUGACGCGGGCAUAAGGAAUGAAUAUGUGCAAUCUUCGGUGAAACUAUAAAAGACAGAAAUAUACAUACAAAACGUAUAUUUUAUUUGUAUUCAAACAUUCAUAUGAAAAGUUACACAAAUUUAGACUCUAAUGUAAAUUCUAAAAUGGAAAAUCAAUUAAAACCUGACAGAAUCAAACUCUAUCCCUCAACAGAACAAGAAAAACAACAACCAUAUUCUUGACUUGCUGAAUCUCCAACUUGUAUGACAUUUGAUUUUUGAAAAAUCUUAUUCAUGGUGUAUUUUUUAAAAUUCGUAGGCAAAGAUCUUUAUUCUUUCUUACAUUUUACAUUUCUUGAAACUAAAUGUAACAUAUAAAAGUUAUCAAAGGUUUCAGGAUUAUAAUUUAAUACGUUAGACGAUUGUUUCGUCUACAUAAGACUAAUCAGUGACGCUCAGAUCGAAACCGAUAAAAAGCCAAACAAGUACAAAGUUGAAGAGCAUUGACGACCCAACCGACUAAAGAUGAUACCCUCUAUACGAAGGUAUGCAAUUCAGCAGGCAUUAGGUUUAGCAAACUGCGUUGCAAACGAGCUAGUUAAAUAUUUGUACCUUAACACACAUUUGCUUUACAUCUCAGAAUUCAGAACUGUGUAAGUUUUUCAAAGUGAAGGAGAAGCAUAUAAAUGACUAAGUUCAACUUCCUUCCAUUUGUGGAGUAUUUAAAGAAAACCAACAUCCUGAC
rnacentral:lncRNA from 1 species